UUUUUUUUUUUUUAUGUCUAAUCUGGAUUAUUGAACCAUUAUUCAAUUGUUCAAUACCUAUUGAUUCACUUUCCAUAUACUCUGAGUACAAAAAAGCCUGAAUAUAAGUGAUAUGGAUUGAAUUAUCUACCCUAAAAAAUGUGUGUCUCAAUUUGACUGGGCCAUGAUUUCUAGUAUUAUGUGGUUGUCCUCCAUUUUGUGAUUGUAAUUUUAUGUUAAAGAGGAUUAGGGUGGGGUUGUAACACCCUUACCCAGGUCACAUUCCUGAUCCAAUGUAAAGAGAAUUUCCCUGCAGUGUGGCCUGCACCACCUUUUAUCUCUCAAGAGAUAAAAAGGAAAGGGAAGCAGGCAGAGAGUGGGGGACCUCAUACCACCAAGAAAGCAGUGCUGGGAGCAGAGCACGUGCUUUAGACGUGGGGUCCCUUUGAGGAAAACCUCUUACUCCAGGGCAAGAUUGAUGAGAAGGCCAACAGAGAAAGAAAGCCUUCCCCUGGAGUUGAUGCCUUGAAUUUGGACUUUUAGCCUGCUUUACUGUGAGGAAAUAAACUUCUCUUUGUUAAAGCCAUCCACUGUGGUAUUUUUAUUUAUAGCAGCACUGGAUGACUAAGACAUAAUUUGGUACCAAGAAAGUGGGGUGUGGCUAGAACAGAUACCUAAAAUGUGGAAGCAGCUUUGAAACUGUGAAUGGAUAGAAGGCUCAGAAGGAAGUGAGGAGAACUGUUAACACCAGAGAAGGCGCAGAUGCUAAGAAACAGCAGCAGAGGACCAGCAGCAGCAGCAAAUCAGCAGUAGCAGAACCAGGAGACCAGCACCAGGCAGUGGUGGAGUGAAGGAGCUGAGUGCCUGUGUGCAGAAGGAGUUCUGGCAGAGUGGUGUGCCUCCGGGUACUUAUCAGUAGAGCUACAGAGCUUUGGAACACUUGCUCCAGCAGGGAAGAUGCAGGUGUGAGGCCUGAAGAGCCAAGAGGGCAAGAAACCAGGAAACAGAAGCUAAAGAGACUAGGAAAACAAGAAGCCAAGCUGACUCAGUCUAAAAAGGUUCCAUUCCCUUUGUACCAUCUCUCACUUCGAGAGCAGCAGCUGAGCAGCUACAUGGCGAAACCCAGAAACAUGCGGGAUUUAGCUCUCCACAGGGUAGUCUUAACCUGCGAGAAGAGAGAUAGGAAUCAAACAGACAAAUCUUCCUUCUUCUCCCGUAGUACGGUUCCAGUUACUUUAACUGAUAUGGUGCUAUUCCGGAAAUCUAUUUCCUUCUGAGUGAUCUUGGAUGAUUUUUAUCUGCCAGGAAUGGAUCCAUUUCAUAGAAGUUGCUGAACUUACUGGCAUAAAGUUGUUGGAUCUGUAACUUUAUCACAUCCGCAAGGUCCUCUUUUUUUUAUAACAUUCACGGAUUCCAAGGACUAGGCUGUGGACAUCUGAGGACUGGGCAUUAUCCAGCCUACAAAAGGUGAUACAGCUACAACAGCCUAUGAAGGAAUGAAAAUUUCUUAGUCAAAUACUGGCAAAUUCUCCUUCAAAAGGUUACAGUCAUUGACAAUACCAUAUAAUGCAUCGGUCUCUAUUUCCCUACAACCUCAUCAACAAUGGCACAUUCUUCUUGAUAUAGUCCAACCUUUCAGAUUACUUGCUCAGCAUGCCGAUUGAAUAAGUAUGGUGAAAGGAUACACCCCUGACACACAUCUCUCCUGAUUGAAGCCAGCAAACUCAUGGGGAGGAGAACUAAGGAAAGACCCACUUUGCAAGGAGUUGAAGCCUCUUGCCAAUAUCUGCAGGUGUGAGAUUAGGAGCAAAUCCUCCAGGUCCAGGCAGGCUUUCAGAUGAUCACAUUCCUGGAUGGCCUCAUGACAGACUCUGAGACUGAACCACCCAGUUUGGUUCAUUAAAAAAAGUAUAAGGUUGAAGGGCAGUGCAAGAUGGCAAAAGAGCGGACUCUCCCAUCAACUGCCCCGGCAAGUAACCCACCGAACAACGAAUAAGAACAAGCACCGACUGAAAUCUCAGAAUUCCAGAGACCAGCAAGGAAUAUAGAGAUUUCCGGAAUAUAUUUAGGAAUAACCAAAAAAACAACUCAUUGCCAUCGAGUCUAUUUCAACUCACAGGAAUAAGGAUGGGGACAGAGGAACCAAAGAAGUCCUGGGUAAGAUCUGAGGACUAGAGGUGCCACCAUUGGACAAUUCAAAGUUUUGGAAGAACAGAGUAUUAUUUUUUAAACUGGUGGAAUUUUGACUGUCUGAUGCUAAAGAUAUUGAUCAAAUGUAUUGGCUAGGACUACCAAAGCAAUGUUAAAUAGAAGCAGUGAUAGAAGGCAUAUUUGCUCCUGGUUUUAGGAGAACACAUCCUAUCUUAGCAAGUGCUUCAUUUACCUCACUGGUUUCACCUUGGUGCCUGCCCUGACAGAGGGAUAAGUUUGCUCAGAUGUAAUGUAGGCUUCUUGCUUUAGCUUGAUAGAUUCAUGAGCAUGUUAUUGUUCACGAGUAAAAUAAAUGCAACCAUGCUGUCUAUAAUAGAGAGAAAUAUGUUCAAUAAGAAUAUAAUUUAUGUCUUUUUGUUGUUGUUGUUCCCUUAAGGAACUAACCCAUGUAAAAAAAAUGUAGAGGGUUAUAAUAUCAUAGGUUAAACUUAUGAGUAAUAUCAUAUUUGCCACUCCUUUAUAUUUAUAUUUGUAUAUUUUUUUUAGACUUAAUUCAUAACCUGGACUAAAAUUCUCUGACAAAUUCAUGGUUUUAUCAAUACCAUUAUUACUGAGUAAAGAAAAUUCAUUUUGAUUGAAAUGGACUCUUUGAAAGUAUUUUGGAAAAUACUUGAAAGACCAGAGAGGUAUCAAUGACAGUGGCAUUUCUUACGGAGAAUUUUUAUUUUUCUGUUAUACAUCAUGGUAGUGGCAUAUUUAAAAAACCCAGUAUUAGUUGUGUGUGUGUGUGUUUAAUUUUAUUGUAUUUCCAUUAUUUUCUUCCUCUUUCAUCCACUGUAUAUUAGGUUUAACAGAUUUCACUGAAGUGUUUUUCUAAAAUAUGCAACUUACCAUGAAAAUUAAAUGAGCGGGGAGUCCAUUGUGAAUCACUAUAGCUCUAAAGAGAAAUACACAGAAAUCAGGACAGAAUGAAAUGCUGUCGAUAUUGUGAGCAAUAUGCAGAGUGCAAUCAGAACAUUAAAUUAACAACUCUCUACAUUUUAUAAAAUAUUACUAAUGGGUCAGUGUAAGUGGGACCCAUUAGGCUUCCAAAUAUAUAUUAAGUAAAUGGAAGAGAAUUUUUCCAUGUUAUGACAUCUUGCUUCUAUUGUAGCUCUGGGUAAUUAAGUCAUAUUAACAUAGUGUCUAGUUGCCAGUGAGAGGGUAUUUUAGAGCUGCAAUAAACUACAUUUCACAUCUCUCAGAGACUUGAAAGUGAAACAGUUGGAAAAUUGCAAAAAAUAGUUAUAUGGACCAACAAGAGCAUAGGUCCCGGGGUGGUGCAAAUGGUUUGUGCUUGACUACUGGCCUAAAAAGAUGGCAGAUUGAAUACACCCAGCAGCACUGCAGAAGAAGGCCUGGCAAUAUGUUUCCAUAAAGAUUACAACCAAGAAAAGCCCUACUAAGUGCAGUUCUAUUUUGUAGCACAUGGGGUUGCCCUGAGUCAGAAUAGAUUUGACAGCAAUGGGAACUCUACCUCAUGUAAUGUAGCACUGUGGUUGUAUCCAUACCAUGUUUUAAAUAUUCUCAUAAAUAGAUACAUGACUGUGUCUAUAUUUUUGCUGUUUUCAGUAAAAAAAUUAGUUGCAUAUUUAAAUGGGAAAAAUGUCUUAAUAUAAAUUUUGGAGAGAAAUAAUUGAAAUAUAAAUUGGUUCCUGUUGGAAAGGAUCAUAGUAUUAUAUACUACACUGGUAAAUUACAUCUAUUUGAUCUUAUCCUUACAUCUUGGGAAAAUAAUCUCUAAAUCAACAUACGUAAAUUGUAGGAAAACACAAAAAAAUUUCCAAUUUGAUAUGAGAAUACUAGAUCAUUUAUUGACAAUGCUAUUUUUUUUUUUACUUUUUGUCUACCGUAAGUGGGCUGAAUAAGGGCUAUUUAUUUUUUCAAUAAUGUUAACUGACAACAGGUUUUUUUUUUUUUAAUUGCGAAGAAGAUUUUGGUAUUGUUUUAGAGAGCCUAUUAAAAAAGGGACCUUACCUCUGUAAUCCAGUGAUCAAUUUGAUCUCUUAAUACUUCCAGACCCCUAACUCCAUCCACCCUAAUCCAGAAGUAAGCACACAUAAUUAAUACUAACAAUCUACAUUAAAUUGUCAUGGUCUAUUUACUCUUUUGGAAAGCCCUAAUAAUACAAUUAUUUCAUUCAAUAAGAUUACUCCAGUCUGUUUAUCUUCUAUGCCAGAAUUUUACCAUAUUUCUGGUGCUGUAUCUUCAACAUGAAAGGAGCAUUACCGUUUUGAUGGCUGCAUCAUACACUUAUGAAAAGUGACAAUUCUCUAUGUAGGAAUUCAACCAGACAGGAGAGGAUUACAAAUUCUAUAGUCAUGCAUUCUAAUAGAUUCACAAAUUUAGGCAUGAGGCAUCCUGAAGCUGAGAAAGUGAAAAAUAAAGGUUCAGAAACUCAGCAAAAGAUUGGUGUAUGCCAACAUCAUGAUUAUGUAAGAAAUGUAAGAAGCAGAAAUAUGGUAACUUGAAAUUGUUCACCUUGAUAAUGGGGUCAAUCACCUUCUUGACUAGUACCCAGAAUAAUCUUAAAAUGUGAGCUGCUACCAAUCUGUAGAUGUAAUUUUAAGAAACAGAUUUGAAUGGGAGAGCUAUAAGGUAAAAGGAAAGGCUAAUAUUCGUCUUCUCACAGUCUAUGGAGUAUAAAACUUCUAGUUUCAGCCAGCCUCAAAAAUCAGGUAUUUCAUGUUUCAAUACAGGCAGUCCCUGGAUUACGAAUGAGUUUUACAAAGAAGUUCCAUUCCUAAAUACGUCCUCAAGUCAAAUUUGUGUGUAAAUCAGAACAGUUAGGGCUCUAAUAUCAGUUAGUCAAAUGUUGUCUUAGUAUAUAGUGUACCUUUCUAUACAUGAAAAAAAUUAAAGAUACACUUCCAAAUACACUAAAAUAUCUUUAACAUAAUGCAAUAAUAAUAAUAGUCUCAAAUCCCUGAUUUAAGAGCACUCUUGGGGCAAAAACUAAUAAAUAAAAGGAAGAUGGCCAGUGCAACUGGAGCAGAGUGACCCACAGGAGAAGGAGAUGUGAGGAGAUGUACAUGUUAUAAAGUAGCUCCUGUUUGUUAUUAUGAACCGUUGUAUGUAUCCUGAAUUUGUAAUAUAACAGGCCUUAUGGGAGUUGGUUCAUAACUACGGGUUGUAUGCUUAAGUUGUACAUUCGUAACCCAGGGAUUGCCUGUAUUUUAUUUAUGCUCUUCUUUCUGCCUGGAGUAUCUUAACACCCCACUUUCCUUUGGUAAAUCUGAUUGUUUGUUCAGGAUUGAGCACAGUGAUUAUUCUCUACGGUGAGUCUUCAUGAACUCCAGACUAUGGCAUAUUCUGUGUUACGUUUUCUCCAACCGCAAGUGUAUUGUUUUGACUACCCUUUCUUCAUCGUGAUUUGUCUAAACAAGUAAGCCCCAGGGCAAGAGCAGCUUAUUCUUUUUUGCAUUAUCAGCACUAACAAAAAUUCUUUAAGUCAUAGCAAGGUAGUAAUAAAUGUUGUUUUAACUGAUUCAUUUAUUCAUUCAUUUAUGCUAUUUCAAAUGUUUGUUGAAAGCUUACAGUGGGGCACAUUGCUUGUAUAAAAAGAGAUAAAGUUUAUGUCUUCUAGACCAUGACCUCUACCACUCCAACUCGUAGCCGUAGAUGUUUUGCUAUGUUUUAUAAAUAGCACUCAUUGUUUAAGGUACAGAAAAUACAGGAGUAAAUAAAGCAAAUUCCUUCCCUUGGAGGAGCAAUAAUAAUUUGGGGGGAGGUAAUAGAUAAGGACAAAGGGUAUUGUCAUUUAAUGUAAGGAUGUCAUGGAAGUCUUCUUCAUUAAAAUGGCAUUUAAGCAAGAUUUAUAAUAUUUUGAAUAAUAGUGCCCCAGGCAGAGAGAAAUUAACAAAUACUAAAAGUCCCAAAUCCCUGAUUUAAGAGCACUCUUGGAGUAGUUUGGAGCAAAAAUUAAUAAAUAAAAGGAAGGUGGCCAGUGUAACUGGAGCAGAGUGACCCACAGGAGAAGGAGAUGUGAGGUCAAAAUGGUGGCUGUGGUUGGUAUUAGAGCAUUUGAUUAGGACUUCCUGGGUUCUUAUAUGUACAUUGGUUUUCAUACUAAAUGAGGUGGAAAGCUAUUAGAGGGUUCUGAGCAGAAAGUAUCCUUACUGAGUUUUGUUUUGACUUGUCCUUGUUCUUUGUUGAAUAAUAUAUUGAUUGUUGAUUUCUGUUAUUUUGUUAAUAUUAAGCUUCCCUGGUCAAAUUACCGUGUUAUUUCUCUCUCUUGGUUGGACUCAGACAGACACAAUAGUCAUAUUGUUCUGCUUUGUGUCUAUAUUUAAGGUCUGCCUCACUGUCUUAAACAGACGUUGGCAAUCUUUCUAUUUUCUUUUCCUGCUACUCCCAGGCGGCACCAGGGGAGGCUAGAGCACAACCAGAGGAUGCAGAUUAUGCAGUAUUUCCCUGAUUGUGAACUGUUUUCCCUCGGACACAUUUCUGUACUUGGGAUAAGCGCUUUUACUUUUUACUUACCAAAAAACCAACCCCCCUGCCCUCAAGUCGAUUCUGACUCAUAGCGACCCUAUAGAACAGAGUAGAACUGCCCCAUAGAGUUUCCAAGGAGCCCCUGGCGGAUCUGAACUGCUGACCUCUUGGUUAGCAACCGUAGCAUUUAACCACUACCCCACCAGGGUUUCCACUUUUUUCCUAGGAUGAGCCUUUCUGGGAAGCUCAUUUCUCCUUGAUGAAUGAUUCCUGGAGGCCCAGACAUGACAUCCUUAGGGUAAACUCAGGUGAGUUCCUGAAACAUAGAUGCAGAACAUAUGUAAUUUUGGAAAAUUCUCAAGAAAUGUACACACACACACAAAUGUUUUGAAACAAUUCAGCAUUAAAUGCCCAUCCAGAUGCUCAUUGUCUGAUUUCUUUUGUUUGUCAACAUAGAUGCAGGAAACAUCUUUGUUAUCAGGUUUUUUUUUUUUUGACGGCAAUUCUUGUUGCCUCAGAGGGCCAAAUACAAUUAGCCUAGCUAUAGGAAGAAAGUUUCAGAAACAGCCUUACUGCAUUUUCCUAAUAGCCUCCUAGGGGGCUUUUUGUCAAAAUGCUUUCGCUUAAUCCUGAUUGGUAAAAAGUUGUGGGGAAUUUGAGUUUUGCAAUCUUUUCAAUACGUUGGAUCUGUUUACAUAGAGGGGUAGUAUAGUCAUGGGCUAGAAUUUCUUCUCUUAAAAAGAUUACUUAAUAGCAGAGUAAACAUCAAGGGCAUUUACCAUAGAAUUCAAUAAAAUUAAUACAAUUUUUCAAGUUUCAUACGCUAUUAAUGAGUUAUAUAACUACACAAGGAGAUAAUUUUCUUACUUGCUGUUUAACUUUGGCCUUUGUCAUAAAAGAAGCACAGGCAGCAUCAUUACAUAAUAAUUUUAGUAAACAAAGUUCUAGGGGAAUAAAAACAACUUAAAAAGUAACAUAUACACCAAUGGACGCACAUGCACACAAAAUGUAACCUUCAGUUUGAAAGUUGUUUGGAAAUACGUAGCUUUUGAGGCAGAUUCACGUGAAACACCUACUGAAUAUAGUAUGUUUAUCUCUUGAGCCCACAUUUUAGCUCCAUUUUAUAUCUAUAUACAUAGUUGUUGUUUUAGGUGCCAUUGAGUCAGUUCCGAAUCAUAGCGACGCUAUGCACAACGUAACGAAACACUGCCCAGUCCUGAGCCAUCCUUAUGAUUGUUGUUAUGCUGGAGCUCAUUGUUGCAACCACUGUGUCAAUCCACCUCGUUGAGGGUCUUCCUCUUUUCUGCUGACCCUGUACUGUGCCAAGCAUGAUGUCCGUCUCCAGGGACUAAUCCCUCCUGACAACAUGACCAAAGUAUGUAAGAUGCGGUCUCGCCAUCCUUGCUUCUAAGGAGCAUUCUGGUUGUACUUCUAAAACAGAUUUGUUCAUUCUUUUGGCAGUAUAUUCAAUAUUAUUCCCCAACACCACAAUUUAAAGGCAUCAAUUCUUCUUUGGUCUUCCUUAUUUAUUGUCCAGCUUUCACAGGCAUAUGAUGCAAUUGAAAAUACCAUGGCUUGGGUCAGACGCACCUUUGUCUUCAAGGUGACAUAGUUGCUCUUCAACACUUUGAAGAGGUCCUUUGCAACAGAUUUACCCAAUGCAAUGCGUCUUUUGAUUUCUUGACUGCUGCUUCCAUGGCUGUUGAUUGUGGAUCCAAGUAAAAUGAAAUCCUUGACUUCAAUCUUUUUUUUUUUAAUUAACUUUCAUUAAGCUUCAAGUGAACAUUUACAAAUCCAACCAGUCUGUCACAUAUAAGUUUACAUACAUCUUACUCCGUACUCCCACUUGCUCUCCCCCUAUUGUCAGCCUUUUCAGUCUCUCCUUUCAUGACAAUUUUGCCAGCUUCCCUCUCUCUCUAUCCUCCCAUCCCCCCUCCAGACAAGAGUUGCCAACACACUCUCAAGUGACCACCUGAUAUAAUUA